rnacentral:piRNA from 1 species
UAAAGGCCAACGAGAUGACCAUGC